GGCCCGAUGGUCAAGAGGUCAAGACAUCGCCCUUUCAAGGCGAAGACACGGGUUCAAUUCCCGUUCGGGUCACCA
rnacentral:tRNA from 1 species